CCUACGGGUGGUUGCAGUGGGGAAUAUUGGACAAUGGGCGAAAGCCUGAUCCAGCCAUGCCGCGUGUGUGAAGAAGGCCUUCGGGUUGUAAAGCACUUUCAGUGGGGAAGAAAGCCUUGGGGCUAAUACCCUCGAGGAAGGACAUCACCCACAGAAGAAGCACCGGCUAACUCCGUGCCAGCAGCCGCGGUAAUACGGAGGGUGCGAGCGUUAAUCGGAAUUACUGGGCGUAAAGCGCGCGUAGGCGGUCUGAUAAGCCGGUUGUGAAAGCCCCGGGCUCAACCUGGGAACGGCAUCCGGAACUGUCAGGCUAGAGUGCAGGAGAGGAAGGUAGAAUUCCCGGUGUAGCGGUGAAAUGCGUAGAGAUCGGGAGGAAUACCAGUGGCGAAGGCGGCCUUCUGGACUGACACUGACGCUGAGGUGCGAAAGCGUGGGUAGCAAACAGGAUUAGAUACCCUGGUAGUC
rnacentral:rRNA from 1 species